rnacentral:rRNA from 1 species
AUUGAACGCUGGCGGCAGGCUUAACACAUGCAAGUCGAGCGGGGUGAUGGUGCUUGCACUAUCACUUAGCGGCGGACGGGUGAGUAAUGCUUAGGAAUCUGCCUAUUAGUGGGGGACAACAUCUCGAAAGGGAUGCUAAUACCGCAUACGUCCUACGGGAGAAAGCAGGGGAUCACUUGUGACCUUGCGCUAAUAGAUGAGCCUAAGUCGGAUUAGCUAGUUGGUGGGGUAAAGGCCUACCAAGGCGACGAUCUGUAGCGGGUCUGAGAGGAUGAUCCGCCACACUGGGACUGAGACACGGCCCAGACUCCUACGGGAGGCAGCAGUGGGGAAUAUUGGACAAUGGGGGGAACCCUGAUCCAGCCAUGCCGCGUGUGUGAAGAAGGCCUUAUGGUUGUAAAGCACUUUAAGCGAGGAGGAGGCUCUUUUGGUUAAUACCCAAGAUGAGUGGACGUUACUCGCAGAAUAAGCACCGGCUAACUCUGUGCCAGCAGCCGCAGUAAGAC